AUUGAACGCUGGCGGCAGGCCUCACACAUGCAAGUCGAACGAGUGGCGGACGGGUGAGUAAUGUCUGGGAAACUGCCUGAUGGAGGGGGAUAACUACUGGAAACGGUAGCUAAUACCGCAUACCAGCGGCGGGGCCCAGAUGGGAUUAGCUAGUAGGUGGGGGAAUGGCUCACCUGGGCGACGAUCCCUAGCUGGUCUGAGAGGAUGACCAGCCAGACUGGAACUGAGACACGGUCCAGACUCCUACGGGAGGCAGCAGUGGGGAAUAUUGCACAAUGGGCGCAAGCCUGAUGCAGCCAUGCCGCGUGUAUGAAGAAGGCCUUCGGGUUGUAAAGUACUUUCAGCGGGGAGGCGUUACCCGCAGAAGAAGCACCGGCGAACGACGUGCCAGCAGCCGCGGUAAUAC
rnacentral:rRNA from 1 species